rnacentral:rRNA from 1 species
ACGCGUUGGGAGCUCUCCCAUAUGGUCGACCUGCAGGCGGCCGCGAAUUCACUAGUGAUUAGUUAGCCGGUGCUUAUUCUGUCGGUAACGUCAAAACAGCAAAGUAUUAAUUUACUGCCCUUCCUCCCAACUUAAAGUGCUUUACAAUCCGAAGACCUUCUUCACACACGCGGCAUGGCUGGAUCAGGCUUUCGCCCAUUGUCCAAUAUUCCCCACUGCUGCCUCCCGUAGGAGUCUGGACCGUGUCUCAGUUCCAGUGUGACUGAUCAUCCUCUCAGACCAGUUACGGAUCGUCGCCUUGGUGAGCCAUUACCCCACCAACUAGCUAAUCCGACCUAGGCUCAUCUGAUAGCGCAAGGCCCGAAGGUCCCCUGCUUUCUCCCGUAGGACGUAUGCGGUAUUAGCGUCCGUUUCCGAACGUUAUCCCCCACUACCAGGCAGAUUCCUAGGCAUUACUCACCCGUCCGCCGCUCUCAAGAGAAGCAAGCUUCUCUCUACCGCUCGACUUGCAUGUGUUAGGCCUGCCGCCAGCGUUCAAUCUGAGCCAUGAUCAAACUCUAAUCGAAUUCCCGCGGCCGCC